rnacentral:rRNA from 1 species
GAUUCAUGAUAACUUCUCGAAUCGCAUGGCCUUGCGCCGGCGAUGGUUCAUUCAAAUUUCUUCCCUAUCAACUUUCGAUGUUUGGGUAGUGGCCAAACAUGGUUGCAACGGGUAACGGAGGGUUAGGGCUCGACCCCGGAGAAGGAGCCUGAGAAACGGCUACUACAUCCAAGGAAGGCAGCAGGCGCGCAAAUUACCCAAUCCCGAUUCGGGGAGGUAGUGACAAUAAAUACUGAUACAGGGCUCUUUUGGGUCUUGUAAUUGGAAUGAGUACAAUUUAAAUCCCUUAACGAGGAACAAUUGGAGGGCAAGUCUGGUGCCAGCAGCCGCGGUAAUUCCAGCUCCAAUAGCGUAUAUUAAAGUUGUUGUGGUUAAAAAGCUCGUAGUUGAACCUUGGGCCUGGCUGGCCGGUCCGCCUCACCGCGUGUACUGGUCCGGCCGGGCCUUUCCCUCUGUGGAACCCCAUGCCCUUCACUGGGUGUGGCGGGGAACCAGGACUUUUAC